rnacentral:rRNA from 1 species
UACGUAGGGCGCAAGCGUUAUCCGGAAUUAUUGGGCGUAAAGAGCUCGUAGGCGGUUUGUCGCGUCUGCCGUGAAAGUCCGGGGCUCAACUCCGGAUCUGCGGUGGGUACGGGCAGACUAGAGUGAUGUAGGGGAGACUGGAAUUCCUGGGGUAGCGGUGAAAUGCGCAGAUAUCAGGAGGAACACCGAUGGCGAAGGCAGGUCUCUGGGCAUUAACUGACGCUGAGGAGCGAAAGCAUGGGGAGCGAACAGG